UCAACCCCCUGUUUUUUACUUUCUUUUUGCCAGAGUGUUGUUUUUUGUAUAGAUUAACUACUUUGUAGAACAAUCUCCAUUUUUAAUGAUAAUUUACAUUCUUAGCAAAAAAAAAAAAAAAAAAAAAAUGAGAGCAACAUGAAAAACAAGACGUGCUGUUCUAAAGGAACUUUUUUAUACAAUGCCAUAGAAAGAUAGUUACACAAACUUAGCCAAGUUUGAUAACAAGUCAAAGGAAACUUCAAAGGUACCACGUACGAGUAAUCUCACAGAGAGAUUAUACGGUUCUUCGAAUUCUUCAAAUAUGGGAAUAGUCACUGACUCACCAUAUAUAAGUGACGUACGUUAAGCACUUUAAAACCUCGAUUCUCAUUGAAAUGAGUUUCGUUGUAUUUUCAGGUCCCAAACGAACCAUUAUGCAAGACUAUAUGUAUACACAUGUUUU
rnacentral:lncRNA from 1 species